rnacentral:ncRNA from 2 species
GAUUAAGAUGGAGGCUGGAAUAAUUAUCAGUAUUCAGAGGAUUAUGGAUCAGAUCUUCUUCUGAAGAAAGGGAUUAUUUUCGAAAUCUGAAUUUAAGCUGAUCAUUGAAUUCAGAUUGGGGCUGGAGUUAAUAACUUCAGAACUGUCAUCAGUUAAACUGAUGAAGGGCUGUCUUAAUC